rnacentral:piRNA from 1 species
UGCACAGGGCCUGUGUCAGGUACAGGUGAAU